rnacentral:lncRNA from 1 species
UCUACCAGUCUACCCCAACCUUCCCCGGUAUGUAAAGUGUAUGUAUUCGUCGUGGGUUUGUGAAGAGACAUACUACGUACAGUAGACAACUUCUCCUACGCUGUGGCCGGUGGGAUCCAGCACCGGAGAUCAUCCCAUCCGGUUUGAAAACUUUAUUUAUUCCUCCGGUCACGACGGCUCGACGGCGACGGCGACGGCGACGGAUGGCGUCAUCGGGCCGUGUUGGGAGCCGGGCGUACGCAGCGCGUGGCGUUAAAUAAUUAUGUUGCGCCCGUACUUUACUCGCAGCCCCAUUGAAAUUUGGCACGGCUUGCGUCACGCGCGCGUCCGCGUCGCUCCCCGGAAGGGGGGCCCAGGUGUUUCUGUUUCGCGUAUUGUAAUGUGAAUAAUCAUCGUCGGUUGCGCGGGGCACGUGAGCGCGGUGGUUAACGAUGGGAUGGAUACUUGGCCCCGUUGCGUGUUCCGUGUAGAUUAAAUACCCGUGCUUCCCGUACUCCUUGUAUGAAACAUUGAAUAUCUAAUCCAUGGUUAAACGUAGCACCAAGCACCAACACUCUCCUAGUCAAAAAAAAAGCACCAACACUCGCGACCAAUCCUUACUUGAAUGAUCAUCAGGACAAUGGUAUAUCAGCAAAUUUAAGUUAUAAACUUAAAGUUGAUGCUCAUAUUUUUUGAAUUUAUUUCAGACUUUCCAACGAUAUGCGUUUAAUGGGACGAAGCAUUUCCGUCGAUAAAGAAGGCAUCUAUGAUGAAAUCGUCAAAUCUUUAGAUGAUAUGACGAUUCAGUCUCUUGAAGAUGUUCAUAGAAGUAUGAUGUAUGUGUGUGUGUUUAUAGAGGUGAGUGUAUAUUCAUGUGUUUGAUCGACUUUGAUAUUACUGUGUUAAAAAAGUCUUGUAGGAUAGAAAGUAUGUCUAGAGAGGGUGAUUAGACUACUUAACAAGAUAAAAAAAAUAGCAUUUUUUCCAAUUUUAGUUGAGGUGCAGAUUUGGCUGUUAUGACAAGUCAAGUACACCCUACCACUAGUGGGGACGGG